AAUACAAUAGCUGCAGCUCAGCCUAAAGGAGGAAGCUCCUAGAAAGUUAAUCAAGCCUCCCAAUGAACUACAAUAGCUUUCAAGAUUCUCUUUCAGUGCAGCAGUCCACAGCCCCGCUCCAUGCCCUGUGAGGCACAAUCUGGAAGAUAAGUCAGGAGCUGUUGCUUUCCUACCAAUCUUCAGAGCUUUCUGGUGGCGUGAUGCCCCAGAAGUGUGUGAAAACCUCCCCCAGGUCACACUGCAACUCUGUUUAUUGCUUCUUACCAGAGUGCCCUCUAUGUCAUUCUAUAUUAAUGCUAAAGAGGAAAUUACAGUCUCACACAGCGAUUGAAGGCACUGCUCUGGAGGACUAUAUCAGGAAGGAGUGCAUGGCAAACAGUGGGGUACUUUGGGGAUAUUCCCAGGAAAACACCUAUUUGUCACUCAUUUUUGCAAGUAUUCAGUGUUUGCUUCCUUGCAAGAUGCUGGACCGAGGGCCUCAAUUUCCAGUCAACUGUUUGCCAGAAGCUGUCCUCAAUUUCUUGCACGUGGCCCUUUUCACGGACACCUUACUACAUGUCAGGUUGCGUUUUCAAAGCCAGCAGAGGACACUUUUCACACAAGAUAAGAUUACAAUCUUAUGUAAUGUAAGUAUUCAUGUAAUCACAUGCAUCCAGCACUUUUGCCCUAUUCUUUUGGUUAGAAUCAAGUCACAGUUCCCCACAUUCGAAAGGAAGUAGCUGCAUAAAGGCUUAACUGCUGAGAGCAGGGGAUCAUAAGGACACCUCACAUUCUGUCUGCAACAGUCCACAUUCUGACCCCCAGGGAGUCAUCUUCCCUUAUACAGAAUAUGCUCACCACCUCUAGAGGUCCCCAUUACAGCAUCUACACAAAUUCAGAGAUCUCAUUACCUAAAUCAAGUCCAGGGGCGGAUGAAAGCUCUCUGAGUUAUCUACCAAUCUAUACAAUAAAGAAUUGAUCUGCCCCUCACACCCAACAUACAGUGAUUAAACAGGCGUCUGUUGGGCAGGCUGGUCCAAAAUGGCCAUAGUUGGGUUCCCUCACUGAGGCUUCUCGUGGGCUGUUUUCAGUAUGUAGCCAAGGUCAUAAACACACUUAUUCAGCCUAAGGACUCAAGGACAUAAACAUUUGCUUGUGAGCAUGUGCCCACUUACAUAACCUAUUGGUAAUGUUCCUUCUUUGUCUGGCCUGCAUAUAAAAAAGGCCUACAGAAAUGGUUCAGGGUGUUAAA
rnacentral:lncRNA from 1 species